rnacentral:rRNA from 1 species
AUACGUAGGUGGCAAGCGUUGUCCGGAAUUAUUGGGCGUAAAGCGCAUGUAGGCGGUAAUUUAAGUCUGUCGUGAAACUGCGGGGCUCAGCCCCGUAUGGCGAUGGAAGCUGGGUUACUUGAGUGCAGGAGAGGAAAGGGGAACUCCCAGUGUAGCGGUGAAAUGCGUAGAUAUUGGGAAGAACACCGGUGGCGAAGGCGCUUUUCUGGACUGUGUCUGACGCUGAGAUGCGAAAGCCAGGGUAGCGACCGGGAUUAGAUCCCCCGGUAGUCCUGGCCGUAAACGAUGGGUACUAGGUGUGGGAGGUAUCGACCCCUUCCGUGCCGGAGUUAACGCAAUAAGUACCCCGCCUGGGGAGUACGGCCGCAAGGCUUAAACUCAAAUGAAUUGACGGGG